rnacentral:rRNA from 1 species
UGGGGAAUAUUGGACAAUGGGGGGAACCCUGAUCCAGCCAUGCCGCGUGUGUGAAGAAGGCCUUAUGGUUGUAAAGCACUUUAAGCGAGGAGGAGGCUCUCUUGGUUAAUACCCAAGAAGAGUGGACGUUACUCGCAGAAUAAGCACCGGCUAACUCUGUGCCAGCAGCCGCGGUAAUACAGAGGGUGCGAGCGUUAAUCGGAUUUACUGGGCGUAAAGCGUGCGUAGGCUGCUUUUUAAGUCGGAUGUGAAAUCCCCGAGCUUAACUUGGGAAGUGCAUUCGAUACUGGGAAGCUAGAGUAUGGGAGAGGAUGGUAGAAGUCCAGGUGUAGCGGUGAAAUGCGUAGAGAUCUGGAGGAAUACCGAUGGCGAAGGCAGCCAUCUGGCCUAAUACUGACGCUGAGGUACGAAAGCAUGGGGAGCAAACAGG